rnacentral:rRNA from 1 species
UGGGGAAUUUUGGACAAUGGGGGAAACCCUGAUCCAGCCAUCCCGCGUGUGCGAUGAAGGCCUUCGGGUUGUAAAGCACUUUUGGCAGGAAAGAAACGUCAUGGGUUAAUACCCCGUGAAACUGACGGUACCUGCAGAAUAAGCACCGGCUGACUACGUGCCAGCAGCCGCGGUAAUACGUAGGGUGCAAGCGUUAAUCGGAAUUACUGGGCGUAAAGCGUGCGCAGGCGGUUCGGAAAGAAAGAUGUGAAAUCCCAGAGCUCAACUUUGGAACUGCAUUUUUAACUACCGGGCUAGAGUGUGUCAGAGGGAGGUGGAAUUCCGCGUGUAGCAGUGAAAUGCGUAGAUAUGCGGAGGAACACCGAUGGCGAAGGCAGCCUCCUGGGAUAACACUGACGCUCAUGCACGAAAGCGUGGGGAGCAAACAGG